UACGGGGGGCGCAAGCGUUGCUCGGAAUCACUGGGCGUAAAGCGUACGCAGGCGGCACGUUAAGUCGGGUGUGAAAGCCCGGGGCUCAACCCCGGAAUUGCAUUCGAUACUGACGUGCUUGAGUACGGGAGAGGGGAGCGGAAGUCCUGGUGUAGAGGUGAAAUUCGUAGAUAUCAGGAGGAACAUCAGUGGCGAAAGCGGCUCCCUGGUCCGAUACUGACGCUCAUGUACGAAAGCGUGGGGAGCAAACAGG
rnacentral:rRNA from 1 species